UACGUAGGGUGCAAGCGUUAAUCGGAAUUACUGGGCGUAAAGCGUGCGCAGGCGGUUAUGUAAGACAGUUGUGAAAUCCCCGGGCUCAACCUGGGAACUGCAUCUGUGACUGCAUAGCUAGAGUACGGUAGAGGGGGGAUGGAAUUCCGCGUGUAGCAGUGAAAUGCGUAGAUAUGCGGAGGAACACCGAUGGCGAAGGCAAUCCCCCUGGACCUGUACUGACGCUCAUGCACGAA
rnacentral:rRNA from 1 species